UCGACUUUACCGUAGCAUUCCGUGAGAUCGAACGCUGUCAGAUUGCUGGCCGUCGAAUGGAGCAAUUUUGAAAUGAACGGAGAUGCACUAACCGCGAGUUGAAGGAGUGAAACCGGUCGUUCCGGUUUCGUUGAGGCCGAGUAUAUACAUGGCCCUUCAAAUAGGAAUUUACUCUGUUUUAGACCUAGCCGUGCAAACCUCUCUCUCUCCCCCUCAAUCCCUACCAGCAGCCACACCCCGUGCAGCUCGCUCUCUCCCUCCCUCCCUACCACCAGCCACGUCCGCGUGCAGCCCUCUCUCUCCCUCAAUCCCUACCACCAACCACGUUCGCCUCCACCUUUCUCUCUCUCUCUCUCCCUCUCUCCCUCAAUCCGUACCACCAGCCGUGACCGUCUCCACCUCUCUCUCCCUCAUUCCCUACCACCACGCUAUGUAGCCUCAGAUUGAGCGUUACAGUACCGGUGCCUGUUUGCCGUGGGUGAGCCUACAAGCAUCCGGUCUACAAUUUGGGUGGGUGAUGGAAUGGGGUCCUGUUGCGAAGGUUUAUUAACUUGAGAUUCUCUUUCAGUGGCAGAAGAAUGAUGGUGGUUCCUUGCAAUGUUGAUUCGGAAUAUGGGAUGGCAGCCAAUGUUGACUAACCGGAGCAAUAUGUAGAGACUUUGUUAUUUAUUUAUUAUUAUUAUUUUAUUUUCCUUGUUUUACAAGAUCAUUGUAAUUAGCUACUUCUUGAAUGUGUCCUUUAUACAUCGAAUUGUAUGACAAUAAAUGUAAAAUUUAAUUCCUUAA